rnacentral:rRNA from 1 species
ACGUAGGAGACAAGCGUUAUCCGGAUUUACUGGGUGUAAAGCGCGUGCAGGCGGUUUUGUAAGUUGGAUGUGAAAGCUCCUGGCUUAACUGGGAGAGGUCGUUCAAGACUGCAAGACUAGAGUAUGUCAGAGGAGAGUGGAAUUCCGAGUGUAGCGGUAAAAUGCAUAGAUAUUCGGAAGAACACCAGUGGCGAAGGCGGCUCUCUGGGGCAUAACUGACGCUCAGACGCGAAAGCUAGGGUAGCAAACGGGAUUAGAGACCCCGGUAGUCCUAGCCGUAAACGAUGUGAACUUGGUGUCGGUGGGUUCAAAUCCAUGGGUACCGAAGCAAACGCGAUAAGUUCACCACCUGGGGACUACGGCCGCAAGGUUA